UACGUAGGGGGCAAGCGUUAUCCGGAUUUACUGGGUGUAAAGGGAGCGUAGACGGUAUGGCAAGUCUGAUGUGAAAACCCGGGGCUCAACCCCGGGACUGCAUUGGAAACUGCCGAACUAGAGUGUCGGAGAGGCAGGCGGAAUUCCGUGUGUAGCGGUGAAAUGCGUAGAUAUACGGAGGAACACCAGUGGCGAAGGCGGCCUGCUGGACAUUAACUGACGCUGAGGAGCGAAAGCGUGGGGAGCAAACAGG
rnacentral:rRNA from 1 species